rnacentral:rRNA from 1 species
UACGUAGGGGGCAAGCGUUGUCCGGAUUUAUUGGGCGUAAAGCGCGCGCAGGCGGUUCCUUAAGUCUGAUGGGAAAGCCCCCGGCUCAACCGGGGAGGGUCAUUGGAAACUGGGGAACUUGAGUGCAGAAGAGAAGAGCGGAAUUCCACGUGUAGCGGUGAAAUGCGUAGAGAUGUGGAGGAACACCAGUGGCGAAGGCGGCUCUUUGGUCUGUAACUGACGCUGAGGCGCGAAAGCGUGGGGAGCGAACAGG